rnacentral:rRNA from 1 species
CUACGGGCCGCACCAGUGAGGAAUUUUGCGCAAUGGGGGAAACCCUGACGCAGCAAUGCCGCGUGAGUGAAGAAGGCCUUCGGGUCGUAAAGCUCUGUCAGAUGGGAAGAAUGCAGAUAUAAUUAAUAGUUGUAUCUAGUGACGGUACCAUCAAAGGAAGCACCGGCUAACUCCGUGCCAGCAGCCGCGGUAAUACGGAGGGUGCAAGCGUUAUUCGGAAUCAUUGGGCGUAAAGGGCGCGUAGGCGGUUUAUCAAGUCAGAUGUGAAAUCCCGGGGCUUAACUCCGGAGGGUCAUUUGAACUGGUAAACUUGAGUUCGGUAGAGGAAAGCGGAAUUCCUGGUGUAGCGGUGAAAUGCGUAGAUAUCAGGAGGAAUAUCAGUGGCGAAGGCGGCUUUCUGGCCCGAAACUGACGCUGAUGCGCGAAGGCGUGGGUAGCAAACGGGAUUAGAUACCCGGGUAGUC